rnacentral:antisense_RNA from 1 species
GAUAACCAAAAAUGGUUGCAGGAUUUAAAGUAGGGUCGGUAACGACACGGACAUCUUGGAUGUUGACAUCGUAAAGUCCACCAAAAAACAUCGCUUUUCCUGCUAAAAGCAAUGCACCUAUGCCAAGAAAUAAUAGAUGAUGACCCAGGAUCAUGCCUAAUUGCUUGGGAUCGCCCCA